AACGAACGCUGGCGGCAUGCCUAACACAUGCAAGUCGAACGAGAUCUUCGGGUCUAGUGGCGCACGGGUGCGUAACGCGUGGGAAUCUGCCCUUUGGUUCGGAAUAACAGGUGGAAACGACUGCUAAUACCGGACGAUGACGAAAGUCCAAAGACUUAUCGCCAGAGGAUGAGCCCGCGUAGGAUUAGCUAGUUGGUGUGGUAAAGGCGCACCUAGGCGACGAUCCUUAGCUGGUCUGAGAGGAUGAUCAGCCACACUGGGACUGAGACACGGCCCAGACUCCGACGGGAGGCAGCAGUGGGGAAUAUUGGACACUGGGCGAAAGCCUGAUCCAGCAAUGCCGCGUGAGUGAUGAAGGCCUUAGGGUUGUAAAGCUCUUUUACCCGGGAUGAUAAUGACAGUACCGGGAGAAUAAGCUCCGGCUAACUCCGUGCCAGCCGCCGCGGUAA
rnacentral:rRNA from 1 species